CAGAAAAUUCAAAGAUACAUCAUAGUCCCCACAAAAUUACAGCCAUAAGAAACCAACACAUCUCACCUUACAAGUGAAAACCAAUCCUUGACAUACAAAAGAGAAGAAAAACCAUGAAGAAACUGAACUGCCAUGUAUGGUAGGAAGGACAUGAAAAGCAAUAGCUAAAGAUGGUGACAAGUAGUGUUUAGUUGAUUAUGAUUCAGCAGCAAUUUCUACAGCAGUGAUGCUGACGACUGGAUUUUUCUCACGUUCAUUCUCAAGCUGACUGUAGUUUCCCUUCUCCUUGAAAAGUUGGAUAUGGUGAUGCUUGCAGUAGAGUUUUC
rnacentral:lncRNA from 1 species